rnacentral:rRNA from 1 species
AUUGAACGCUGGCGGCAUGCUUUACACAUGCAAGUCGAACGGUAACAGGCCUUCGGGUGCUGACGAGUGGCGAACGGGUGAGUAAUGCAUCGGAACGUGCCCAAUCGUGGGGAGUAACGUAGCGAAGUUACGCUAAUACCGCAUAAGCCCUCGAGGGGGAAAGGACAGGGGAGUCGCAAGACCUUGCGCGAAUGGAGCGGCCGAUGUCAGAUUAGCUAGUUGGUGGGGGUAAAGGGACCGUACCAAGGCGACGAUCUGUAGCGGGUCGUGAGAGGAUGAUCCGCCACACUGGGACGUGAGACACGGCCCAGACUCCUACGGGAGGCAGCAGUGGGGAAGUUUUGGUACAAUGGGCGGCAAGCCUGAUCCAGCCAUGCCGCGUGCGGGACGAAGGCC